rnacentral:rRNA from 1 species
UACGAAGGGGGCUAGCGUUGCUCGGAAUGACUGGGCGUAAAGGGCGCGUAGGCGGCUUGCACCGUCAGAUGUGAAAUUCCUGGGCUUAACCUGGGGGCUGCAUUUGAUACGUGUGGGCUUGAGUGCGGAAGAGGGUCGUGGAAUUCCCAGUGUAGAGGUGAAAUUCGUAGAUAUUGGGAGGAACACCAGUGGCGAAGGCGGCUCACUGGACCGGAACUGACGCUGAGGCGCGAAAGCGUGGGGAGCAAACAGG